CAUUAAGAAGCUAUGUACCAGCACUAGCCUUUUAAGCUAGCGAAAGAGGACCACUUCCCCUCCUUAAUGA
rnacentral:tRNA from 1 species